GUGGUCCAUGCGCGGUUAUCGGGCGUAUUAGUUCAAGCCUGGUCCGAUGACUAAGCAGUCCGGUUCGAUUCCGGAGUAUCGCG
rnacentral:tRNA from 1 species